UACGUAGGGGGCAAGCGUUGUCCGGAAUCAUUGGGCGUAAAGCGCGUGUAGGCGGUUUGGUAAGUCUGCUGUGAAAGUCCAGGGCUCAACCCUGGGAUGCCGGUGGAUACUGUCGGACUAGAGUACGGAAGAGGCGAGUGGAAUUCCCGGUGUAGCGGUGAAAUGCGCAGAUAUCGGGAGGAACACCAAUUGCGAAGGCAGCUCGCUGGGACGUCACUGACGCUGAGACGCGAAAGCGUGGGGAGCAAACAGG
rnacentral:rRNA from 1 species